GGUUUGCCGAGGAGUCUUACAAUAGGACAAAACGGCCGUCCAGAGC
rnacentral:hammerhead_ribozyme from 1 species